UAUUGUUGAUGAUGCUGCAUAUGAAGAGCUUCCUGCAGGGGAGUAGAUAUGUCCUGAGAGGCAUGCCAAUAUAAUUUCAAGAACAUUCUUUGGUUGGAUGAAUCCCCUUAUGCAGCGUGCAUAUCAAAGACCAAUAACAGAGAAGGAAGUGUGGAAGUUAGAUACUUGGGAUAGAACAGAAACACUGAAUGCUAAGUUCCAAGAAUGUUGGGUUAAAGAAUCUCAGAAGCCAACGCCAUGGCUGUUAAAAGCAUUAAACAGUAGCCUUGGAGGAAUAUAUG